UUCCCAUACCGAACACAGAAGUUAAGCUCUUUAGCGCUGAUGGUACUUGGUGGGCGACCGCCUGGGAGAGUAAGACGUAGCCACGU
rnacentral:rRNA from 1 species